rnacentral:lncRNA from 1 species
CCCUCUCCUUCUUCUUUUAUCAAGAGUUAACUCAACAUAAACCCUAGGAUAUAAUAUAAGAAGACAACACAAGGAAAAGGGGCCAGCCAAACUCCAGCAGCCAUCGCCACCCUCUAAAACCUGCCGGAGACCGCCCCAACUCAAAGACGAGCUCCAUCAACAACCCAGUCCUCCUUCAACGACCACUUAUUCCAUCUCCCGCAAUUGAGCAGAAACACACACAAAGCGUCAUAAACAGGGGAGCAGAAAAUGGACAGAAGCUUUAGGGACUGAAAUUUGGACAGAAAUUUGGGGGUUGUUGGCCAUAAAAGAGCCGAGUGGUUGUUCGAACCUUCGUUGCCGUCGUGGUUUUUUAUCCGGUCAGUGGUCUUUGCUCGAUUUUGUUGCUGCUUUUUUCUUUCUUCAUCACCUUCCUUUCGAGCUAUCGUCGCAUUGUAAUUUUUGAAAAUUUGAAUAUACCGGAAAGGAUUUCAGGUCCAUUUUCUUUCUCCCUAACUUAAUUUUGGUAUGAUUAUAAAUAUGUUAAGAUUUCGAAUGAGAUAUAGAGUAUAUUGCUUGGUUAUUUUAUGUGUUGUGGUUCGUCAUCGUUGUGCUACUACUGGUACCCAUCUUACAACUUCUUUCUUCAGUUCUUAUUUUUGUGUUUAAUGCCUUCUCGG